CCCGUCGCUCCCUGUCUCACUCCGUCUCCCUCUAGGCUGCGCCUCUCACCCUCACCCACGACCCACCGACGACGAGCACCACCGCCUGCACCGACGAGCUUGUCGUCUUCUCCUCGGCUCCUCCCUCUCCCACACGCAGACGUUCCGCUAAGCACUCUCCAGCUCUCCCUCUCGGCCCGCGCCGCCCAAGCAGUGGCCGCCCCGCCACCGCUGCCCUCCGCCGCCUCCGCCAUCUGAAUAUUGAAGAAGGCACCAUUUCGGAGCUAUCUGCAAGAGAUGCUGGCUUUUGUAACUUCCUAACUUCUGUAUCUCAACUCAUUAAUCUCUGUAGUGCUUAGCCUUCUACAAAAACGAUUUUUAAGCAUUUUAUGCGCUCUUCUCUAAAGCAAUAAAGCCACUAAAGGACAAGUCAUUGAAAGGUCAAGAGAGAGCAAGCUGAACGUGAAGCACUUGGACAUUUCCCUGAGAGGACAUUUCUUGUUAUUGAAUUACGUAUAAUUGAAACAAGUAAAUGUGAUCCCGGUCCGGUCUUCUUCCUCUCUAAGAACUGUAAUGUGUCAUGUUUGUAUAUUAAUGAUAAGAAAAUCGUUUUCUUUCUAUUUCUUUUUUUGCUACUGGUUAUCAGCAAAUAAUGUUGUGUAACUUUAUAUUAACUGCACCGAUGUAAAUACUGA